rnacentral:sRNA from 1 species
GCCAGGUGUCGUGGUGGACGCCUGUAAUCCCAGCAGCUCAGGAGGCUGAGGCAGGAGGAUCUCGAGUUCAAAGCAAGAACCUGAGCAGCUCAGAGAGACCCUGUCUUUA